rnacentral:rRNA from 1 species
AGCGUACACGGUGGAUGCCCUGGCAGUCAGAGGCGAUGAAGGACGUGCUAAUCUGCGAUAAGCGUCGGUAAGGUGAUAUGAACCGUUAUAACCGGCGAUUUCCGAAUGGGGAAACCCAGUGUGAUUCGUCACACUAUCAUUAACUGAAUCCAUAGGUUAAUGAGGCGAACCGGGGGAACUGAAACAUCUAAGUACCCCGAGGAAAAGAAAUCAACCGAGAUUCCCCCAGUAGCGGCGAGCGAACGGGGAGCAGCCCAGAGCCUGAAUCAGUGUGUGUGUUAGUGGAAGCGUCUGGAAAGGCGCGCGAUACAGGGUGACAGCCCCGUACACAAAAAUGCACAUGCUGUGAGCUCGAUGAGUAGGGCGGGACACGUGGUAUCCUGUCUGAAUAUGGGGGGACCAUCCUCCAAGGCUAAAUACUCCUGACUGACCGAUAGUGAACCAGUACCGUGAGGGAAAGGCGAAAAGAACCCCGGCGAGGGGAGUGAAAAAGAACCUGAAACCGUGUACGUACAAGCAGUGGGAGCACGCUUAGGCGUGUGACUGCGUACCUUUUGUAUAAUGGGUCAGCGACUUAUAUUCUGUAGCAAGGUUAACCGAAUAGGGGAGCCGAAGGGAAACCGAGUCUUAACUGGGCGUUAAGUUGCAGGGUAUAGACCCGAAACCCGGUGAUCUAGCCAUGGGCAGGUUGAAGGUUGGGUAACACUAACUGGAGGACCGAACCGACUAAUGUUGAAAAAUUAGCGGAUGACUUGUGGCUGGGGGUGAAAGGCCAAUCAAACCGGGAGAUAGCUGGUUCUCCCCGAAAGCUAUUUAGGUAGCGCCUCGUGAAUUCAUCUCCGGGGGUAGAGCACUGUUUCGGCAAGGGGGUCAUCCCGACUUACCAACCCGAUGCAAACUGCGAAUACCGGAGAAUGUUAUCACGGGAGACACACGGCGGGUGCUAACGUCCGUCGUGAAGAGGGAAACAACCCAGACCGCCAGCUAAGGUCCCAAAGUCAUGGUUAAGUGGGAAACGAUGUGGGAAGGCCCAGACAGCCAGGAUGUUGGCUUAGAAGCAGCCAUCAUUUAAAGAAAGCGUAAUAGCUCACUGGUCGAGUCGGCCUGCGCGGAAGAUGUAACGGGGCUAAACCAUGCACCGAAGCUGCGGCAGCGACGCUUAUGCGUUGUUGGGUAGGGGAGCGUUCUGUAAGCCUGCGAAGGUGUGCUGUGAGGCAUGCUGGAGGUAUCAGAAGUGCGAAUGCUGACAUAAGUAACGAUAAAGCGGGUGAAAAGCCCGCUCGCCGGAAGACCAAGGGUUCCUGUCCAACGUUAAUCGGGGCAGGGUGAGUCGACCCCUAAGGCGAGGCCGAAAGGCGUAGUCGAUGGGAAACAGGUUAAUAUUCCUGUACUUGGUGUUACUGCGAAGGGGGGACGGAGAAGGCUAUGUUGGCCGGGCGACGGUUGUCCCGGUUUAAGCGUGUAGGCUGGUUUUCCAGGCAAAUCCGGAAAAUCAAGGCUGAGGCGUGAUGACGAGGCACUACGGUGCUGAAGCAACAAAUGCCCUGCUUCCAGGAAAAGCCUCUAAGCAUCAGGUAACAUCAAAUCGUACCCCAAACCGACACAGGUGGUCAGGUAGAGAAUACCAAGGCGCUUGAGAGAACUCGGGUGAAGGAACUAGGCAAAAUGGUGCCGUAACUUCGGGAGAAGGCACGCUGAUAUGUAGGUGAAGUCCCUCGCGGAUGGAGCUGAAAUCAGUCGAAGAUACCAGCUGGCUGCAACUGUUUAUUAAAAACACAGCACUGUGCAAACACGAAAGUGGACGUAUACGGUGUGACGCCUGCCCGGUGCCGGAAGGUUAAUUGAUGGGGUCAGCGCAAGCGAAGCUCUUGAUCGAAGCCCCGGUAAACGGCGGCCGUAACUAUAACGGUCCUAAGGUAGCGAAAUUCCUUGUCGGGUAAGUUCCGACCUGCACGAAUGGCGUAAUGAUGGCCAGGCUGUCUCCACCCGAGACUCAGUGAAAUUGAACUCGCUGUGAAGAUGCAGUGUACCCGCGGCAAGACGGAAAGACCCCGUGAACCUUUACUAUAGCUUGACACUGAACAUUGAGCCUUGAUGUGUAGGAUAGGUGGGAGGCUUUGAAGUGUGGACGCCAGUCUGCAUGGAGCCGACCUUGAAAUACCACCCUUUAAUGUUUGAUGUUCUAACGUUGACCCGUAAUCCGGGUUGCGGACAGUGUCUGGUGGGUAGUUUGACUGGGGCGGUCUCCUCCUAAAGAGUAACGGAGGAGCACGAAGGUUGGCUAAUCCUGGUCGGACAUCAGGAGGUUAGUGCAAUGGCAUAAGCCAGCUUGACUGCGAGCGUGACGGCGCGAGCAGGUGCGAAAGCAGGUCAUAGUGAUCCGGUGGUUCUGAAUGGAAGGGCCAUCGCUCAACGGAUAAAAGGUACUCCGGGGAUAACAGGCUGAUACCGCCCAAGAGUUCAUAUCGACGGCGGUGUUUGGCACCUCGAUGUCGGCUCAUCACAUCCUGGGGCUGAAGUAGGUCCCAAGGGUAUGGCUGUUCGCCAUUUAAAGUGGUACGCGAGCUGGGUUUAGAACGUCGUGAGACAGUUCGGUCCCUAUCUGCCGUGGGCGCUGGAGAACUGAGGGGGGCUGCUCCUAGUACGAGAGGACCGGAGUGGACGCAUCACUGGUGUUCGGGUUGUCAUGCCAAUGGCACUGCCCGGUAGCUAAAUGCGGAAGAGAUAAGUGCUGAAAGCAUCUAAGCACGAAACUUGCCCCGAGAUGAGUUCU